UGAAAAAUAUGUUUAUUUAAUGAGAACACACAGACUUGUCUCAAAACCCAAAGGACUAUGUUUUCGGAAAAGUGUCUUUACUGGCCGGCCAGCCUUCCUAGAGAAAUUCUGUUUUCUUCUAUAGACGAGAAUAUGGUAGAGUAGCUAGCCCUUAACCUCUUUACCAGAUACUAGAAACCGUUCUGACCGUUUUACAUGACGACAUCCUCACAAAAUCCUGUGAGGCAACAACUCUGAUUUGUUUUAUAUGAUUUACGUUAUAUUACUAUAUACUUUAUAUAGCCAUUCAGAGUACCGAAUACACUUAACGUUGCUUGCCCUCCUAUAUAUACUCCAGUGUUCAGCCACCUUCACUUUUUAAACUUAAUUCAUUCCAAAGAUUCUCUGUCAUAUAGUUGAACACUGUUGCAUUUAAUAUGGAUGUGGAUAUUAAUAAUAAAUGAUGGGACAAGUGACCGGUUGGCAGGAUUUGGUUUUGUUUUGCUGGCUUGCUUUGACUGGUUGGUGGUUGUUUUCUGGGACAGGGUCUCACUUUGUAGUCCAGGUUUGAUAAACAUGGAACUUGCCACAGUUCCGCGGCCUCUGCCUCUACAGUGCUGGGCUUGCAGGAGCGCUGUGGUCCGCCAGCAAAGUGGCAGUUCCUAAAGCCGGCGAGAAAACGCCCAGUCCAGCGGGAGGGCGGAGCCUUUCGCUCCAGUCCCAGCCGGUUUCGUCAGGCUCCGCCCAGAAUCCCGCUCGGAGGGACCCCCGGACUCGCAAACGAACGAACAAGUUUCGGGUCUAGAGGGGCCGGAAAUAUGAGGACGCUGAGCGGGCCCGCCCCUCAGCUUCCGGCACUGGUCCUGGGAGUCCCUUCUGCAAUCGUCCGUGCCUGGUCGGUAGGAUGGCGCUAGGCCGCUGCGGUUGGAGCACGGAGAACAGGGCGCUGCUCAACGUCCUCGCCACCCUCCGCUGUCCGUUCCCGCUGGCAGGGCAUGGGGGCGCCUUCCGCUCCGUACGCGUUCUUCGCGGCCAGUCAUCACCGAGACGUGGGCCUCCGCCGUCCUAGCCCUCCCGUCCUGUUCCCGAGUGUCAGCUAGAGCGUCUCCUUCUCGUUUCCGGUCGCUCUGCAGCCUGGGGCGGGGCGUGGGAGAAGGGGGCGGUGCCUCGCCGGGAACUCGUGAGUUCAGGUAGUGCGGAGACGCCGGAAGCGUUGGGAGGGAGGCCGGAAGCCGGGGGGCGGGGCCAGGAAGUGAGGAGGGGCGGGGGUUUAUGAGCAGGCCAGGGGAGCGUUGGGGCAGAUUUGCACUCAGGUCCACCUGAGCGGCUUGUCGGUGGGGCUCCCCUCUGUCCCCUCCCCUCUGUGAGACACGGUGGUCGUCUGGGGGUAGGGGACUGUGCGUGGCGGGGUGGGCUGGUCGGAGGACAUUCCUUUGGCCUUGCCGCAGGCAAGGUGCGGAGAGGUUGGGCUCGGGGUGGGGACGGGGCUUCGGGAAAGGGAGACCCCCCCGCCCCACCCCCCGCUCCCCCCACCGCACUUCUACCCUGGCUGACUGGACACUAAGAUGGCUGCCGUUGCCAUGACACCCAACCCUGUGCAGACCCUUCAGGAGGAGGCGGUGUGUGCCAUCUGCCUCGAUUACUUCACGGACCCGGUGUCCAUCGGCUGCGGGCACAACUUCUGCCGAGUGUGUGUAACCCAGUUGUGGGGCGGGGAGGAUGAGGAAGACAGAGAUGAGUUGGAUCGGGAGGAGGAGGAGGAGGAGGUCGGAGAGGAGGAAGAAGUGGAGGCUGUCGGGGCUGGCGGGGGCUGGGACACCCCUAUGCGGGAAGAAGAUUAUGAGGGUGACAUGGAGGAGGAGGCCGAGGAGGAAGAGGAAGUGUUCUGGAGUAGUGGUAUAGGUGGGUCUAACUGGGACAACAUGGACUAUGUGUGGGAGGAGGAGGAGGAGGAGGAGGAGGAAGAACUGGACUAUUACUUGGGGGAUGUGGCGGACCUGAGAGGGGAAGAUGAGGACGAGGAGGAGGAAGUGCUGGAGGAAGACGAGGAAGAGGAGCUAGACCCGAUCACCCAACUGCCGCCACCUCCAGCCCCUCGGAGAUGCUUCACUUGUCCCCAGUGUCGAAAAAGUUUUCCUCGGCGGAGCUUCCGCCCCAACCUGCAGUUGGCCAACAUGGUCCAGGUGAUCCGUCAGAUGCACCCAACUCCUGGGCGAGGGAGCCGUGUGAAUGAACAAGGCAUCUGUCCGAGACAUCAAGAAGCCCUGAAGCUGUUCUGUGAGGUGGAUGAAGAAGCCAUCUGUGUGGUGUGCCGCGAAUCCAGGAGCCACAAACAGCAUAGUGUGGUGCCAUUGGAGGAGGUAGUGCAGGAGUACAAGGCCAAGCUACAAGGGCAUGUGGAACCACUUAGGAAGCAUCUAGAGGCUGUGCAGAAGAUGAAGGCCAAGGAGGAGAGGCGGGUGACAGAGCUGAAGAGCCAGAUGAAGUCAGAGCUGGCAGCUGUGGCCUCAGAGUUUGGGCGGCUAACAAGGUUUCUGGCUGAAGAGCAGGCAGGAUUAGAGAGGCGCCUCCGGGAGAUGCACGAAGCUCAGUUAGGACGUGCGGGAGCAGCAGCCAACCGCCUUGAAGAGCAGGCUGCCCAGCUGAGCCGCUUGCUUGCUGAAGCCCAAGAACGGAGCCAACAGGGGGGCCUGCGGCUACUGCAAGACAUCAAGGAGACUUUCAAUAGAACCUAAGUUUCUGCUUCUCAGACCCUCUGCUCCUUCCCCUUAGCUAUCAUUCUUCACUCUGGGAAUAUCAUGCUCCCACCCCCUACCUGGUCCCCCUCCUCCAGGUGUGAAGAGAUACAGUUGCAGCCCCCAGAGAUUUGGUCCCCUGACCCAUGCCAACCCCAUAGCCACGACUUCCUGACAGACGCCAUCGUGAGGAAAAUGAGCCGCAUGUUUUGUCAGGCUGCAAGAGUGGACCUGACACUGGACCCUGACACAGCUCACCCAGCUCUGCUGCUGUCCCCUGAUCGCCGUGGAGUCCGCUUGGCAGAACGUCGGCAGGAGGUUCCUGAACAUUCCAAGCGCUUCUCAGCUGACUGCUGUGUACUAGGGGCCCAGGGCUUCCGCUCUGGCCGGCACUACUGGGAGGUAGAGGUGGGUGGGAGGCGAGGCUGGGCAGUGGGUGCUGCCCGUGAAUCAACCCAUCAUAAAGAAAAAGUGGGCUCUGGGGGGUCCUCUGUUAGCAGUGGGGAUGCCAGCUCCUCACGCCAUCAUCAUCGCCGCCGCCGGCUCCAUCUGCCUCAGCAGCUCCUACUCCAGCGCGAAGUGUGGUGUGUGGGCACCCACGGCAAACGAUACCAGGCACAGAGCUCAACAGAGCAGACACUGCUCAGCCCAUGUGAGAAACCACGGCGCUUUGGCGUAUACCUGGACUAUGAGGCUGGGCGCCUAGGCUUCUACAAUGCGGAUACCUUAGCCCAUGUGCACACCUUCUCAGCUGCCUUCCUUGGCGAGCGUGUUUUCCCUUUUUUCCGGGUACUUUCCAAGGGUACCCGAAUCAAGCUCUGCCCUUGAUCAGCCUGCCACCCGCAGGGGCCCCUCUGGUCACCACUGGGGGGGCGGGUGGUGGUGGAUGGUUGCCCACUGUUUUGGGAGCCUGGAUUCCUCCCACUGUUUGUUACUGAGUUGCUUCCUGCUCCCUCUUGAACCCAGGCUGCUUCUCCCUCUAGGAGUCAAAAAGACCUCCUAGACUCCUCCAGCUCAGUCCUUCCUCACCUACUUUGUCUGACAGGUCUGCAUGGGUCCCUGAUAACCAACAGCUGCCUGAUGACCUCCCCUCCCGCCUAGCUCAGCUCUGGGGAUGUGUGGAGAUAAUUCCUCAACUUUCCUUUUUCACCCCCCUCCAUGUUUUGGUGCAAGCUUCAGCUAAGAGCUUUAGGAGCUGUCUAGGCAAUCAGGCUGGGCAAAAGGGUAGAGCUGUGUAAGUCUACUUUUUCUUGGGGAAGUAGGAACACUAAAGCUUUCCUUCCACCCCCCAAUUUCUACCUCCAUAGACUGGCCAGAAUUUAGCUUCAGUGAGAUCUGAGAUGGUCAGCAUGACACCACAUACAUUACCCAAUAAAUUAUUUUCUCUCUGCAUCUUAUGUAGGAGCCUAAGUCUUCUUCUCUGUCAGGCUCUUAUUCAGAAGUUUCUGGCCUCUCCAUGCCUUUUAUUUCCACUUGGUAAGCCCUGUUAGGGAGCUUGAGACAGGGGUCUGGAUCCUCGGGAGACCACUGGGUAUAAUCUAUUUUUCUAGUAACCCCUUGCCUUCUGACACUAAACAGCUUUUGUCCUCUGCUUUGGUGGCUGAGGUCAACUCAUGUUCUUGGGGAAAGGUGGGUUGUGUUGCAAAAAUAAAAAAAAGUGUUUAUUUGCU